AUUGAACGCUGGCGGCGUGCUUAACACAUGCAAGUCGAUCGGUAACAGGUGUAGCAAUACAUGCUGACGAGAGGCGGACGGGUGAGUAAUGCUUGGGAAUCUGCCUAUUAGUGGGGGACAACCCGGGGAAACGUCUGGCUAAUACCGCAUACGCUCUACGGAGGAAAGCCGGGGACCGCAAGGCCUGGCGCUAAUAGAUGAGCCCAAGUCGGAUUAGCUAGUUGGUAGGGAACGGCCUACCAAGGCGACAAUCCGUAGCUGGUCUGAGAGGACGACCAGCCACACCGGAACUGAGACACGGUCCGGACUCCUACGGGAGGCAGCAGUGGGGAAUAUUGGACAAUGGGGGCGAACCCUGAUCCAGCGACGCCGCGUGGGUGAAGAAGGCCUGCGGGUUGUAAAGCCCUUUCGGUGGGGAAGAAAAGUCUCGACCUAAUACGUCGGGACCUUGACGUAACCCACUAAAGAGCACCGGCUAACUCUGUGCCAGCAGCCG
rnacentral:rRNA from 1 species